rnacentral:misc_RNA from 1 species
GAAACGAAAUAUACCUCACUGAGCAAGUACGGCACGGGGAGGAGUGAGAGCUAAGCUUAUUAAAGUGGAGGUUGUUAGUGUUUUAUUUUGAGAAUCGGCAUUUUGGUUGAAAGGAAAGAAACCGCUCCGAUUCAAGAAGGAGAUGACAUCGACCGGCCGAAUCGACUGACUCGUAUUUAAAUCCACCCAGAUUUUCGGCCUACAACACUCAAAAGCUAAUCCAUAGCCCAAAACAAUUUGGAACCCAAACAAUAUCAAAAUGAGUGCAAUUAGAUAGUCCUUAUAAAAGGAGAUCUAAAUCGUUCGUUUAAACAUUAAUCUUCUUGAAAAGUUCACGUGCAAUCGCAACAAUAGGUAGAAGGAGGGUGGGUAUGUCUCGUGCGCCAAAUGAAAAUCUUCCAACAUACAAACUGGUGGUUGUUGGAGAUGGAGGCGUUGGCAAAAGUGCGAUCACAAUUCAGUUCUUCCAGAAGUUGUUCGUGACAGAUUAUGAUCCUACGAUAGAGGAUAGCUAUAUACAACACACUGAAGUCGACGGACAUUGGUGUAUAUUAGAUGUACUGGACACUGCGGGUCAGGAAGAAUUUAGUGCAAUGAGGGAGCAAUACAUGAGAAAAGGAGAUGGGUUUCUUCUUGUUUAUUCUGUUACGGAUAAGCAGAGUUAUGAAAAUAUAGUUAACUUCCAUACGCAAAUUCUCAGAGUUAAAGAUAGAGAUAUAUAUCCAAUGCUUUUAGUAGCAAAUAAAGUCGAUUUGGUCCAUCUGCGGAAAGUGUCGGAAGAAGCUGGGAGAGAAUUAGCGUAUAAACUAGGAAUUCCUUACAUUGAAACAUCUGCGAAGGACCCACCUCUCAACGUAGAUGCAGCAUUUCAAGAAGUCGUGAGAAUAAUUAGGAAUCAACCACCAGUGGAACCGGAGAAAAAUCGGGGAAGAAGAAGGAGGUCUGGCAAAUGUUGUGUAAUAUGAACAGAACAUUACCUCAUUAAGACAAAAGUGGUUGUAAUAAAUUUAAUAACGAUGCGAGGAAAGACGUACUGACUACUUUCCGUCUUCCGAUAUGUCCUGGCAAUCCAGCACUUUGCCUGAGAAACUGUUUUACAGC